GGGUGGUACAGCGAAAGCGUUAAGUAUUCCACCUGGGGAGUACGCCGGCAACGGUGAAACUCAAAGGAAUUGACGGGGGCCCGCACAAGCGGAGGAACAUGUGGUUUAAUUCGAUGAUACGCGAGGAACCUUACCCGGGCUCAAACGACGGAUGGAUGUUUCUGAAAGGAGGCAGUCCUACGGGACAUCCGUCGAGGUGCUGCAUGGUUGUCGUCAGCUCGUGCCGUGAGGUGUCGGCUUAAGUGCCAUAACGAGCGCAACCCCCAUCGCCAGUUACCAGCAAGUAAAGUUGGGGACUCUGGCGAGACUGCCGGCGCAAGUUGUGAGGAAGGCGGGGAUGACGUCAAAUCAGCACGGCCCUUACGUCCGGGGCGACACACGUGUUACAAUGGCAGGUACAGAGAGAAGCGAUGCGGCGACGCAGAGCGGAACUUCAAAGCCUGUCUCAGUUCGGAUUGGAGUCUGCAACCCGACUCCAUGAAGCUGGAUUCGCUAGUAAUCGCGCAUCAGCCACGGCGCGGUGAAUACGUUCCCGGGCCUUGUACACACCGCCCGUCAAGCCAUGGAAGCCGGGAGUGCCUGAAGUGUGCAACCGCAAGGAGCGCCCUAAGGUAAAACCGGUGACUGGGGCUAAGUCGUAACAAGGUAGCCGU
rnacentral:rRNA from 1 species